rnacentral:rRNA from 1 species
UACGUAGGGGGCGAGCGUUGCCCGGAUUCACUGGGCGUAAAGCGGGUGUAGGCGGUUCUUUAAGUCGGAUGUGAAAUCCUACGGCUCAACCGUGGAACUGCAUCCGAUACUGGGGAACUUGAGGACGGUAGAGGUCGGUGGAAUUCCAGGUGUACCGGUGAAAUGGGCAGAUAUCUGGAGGAACACCAGUGGCGAAGGCGGCCGACUGGGCCGAUCCUGACGCUGAGACCCGAAAGCCAGGGUAGCGAACCGG